rnacentral:rRNA from 1 species
GUCUACGGCCAUACCACCAUGAACACACUUGAUCCUGUCUGAUCUCGGAGGCUAAGCAAGGUCAGGCCUAGUUAGUACUUGGAUGGGAGAAAAUGAAAUUAGAGAUUGGCAUCCUUUGGACC